CCUUUUUACUGAUGUUGUCGAUUUGCUCAUUCCAACAUAGAUUGUCAUCAAUCAGUACACCUAAAGUCUUUUUGGAAUAAACCUGUUUCAAUAGUUUCUCCCCGCAUGAUACACUGGUAUUUUUUUGAAUUUUAGCUAGUCUUUGACCGGUUCCAAUGAUCAUAUAUUCUGUUAUUUCAAUGUUUAAAGUUAGCUUGUUUGAAAG